CAACUGGAGAGUUUGAUCCUGGCUCAGAACGAACGUUGGCGGCGCGCCUAACACAUGCAAGUCGCACGCGAAAGGGAGCAAUCCCCGGUAGAGUGGCGCACGGGUGAGUAACACGUGGGUAAUCUUCCCUUGAGCGGGGGAUAACCUUCCGAAAGGAGGGCUAAUACCGCAUAAGACCACGGCCAGCACGCUGGCUGAGGUCAAAGCAGGCCUCUACAUGUAAGCUUGCACUCGAGGAUGAGCCCGCGGCCCAUCAGCUAGUUGGUGGUGUAACGGACCACCAAGGCUAAGACGGGUAGCUGGUCUGAGAGGAUGAUCAGCCACACUGGAACUGAGACACGGUCC
rnacentral:rRNA from 1 species